rnacentral:rRNA from 1 species
GGCGAACGCUGGCGGCGUGCUUAACACAUGCAAGUCGAACGAUAAGGCCCUUCGGGGUACACGAGUGGCGAACGGGUGAGUAACACGUGGGUGAUCUGCCCUGCACUUCGGGAUAAGCCUGGGAAACUGGGUCUAAUACCGGAUAGGACCACUGCCUGCAUGGGUGGUGGUGGAAAGCUUUUGCGGUGUGGGAUGGGCCCGCGGCCUAUCAGCUUGUUGGUGGGGUGAUGGCCUACCAAGGCGACGACGGGUAGCCGGCCUGAGAGGGUGACCGGCCAAACUGGGACUGGGAUACGGGCCAGACUCCUACGGGAGGCAGCAGUGGGGAAUAUUGCACAAUGGGCGCAAGCCUGAGGCAGCGACGCCGCGUGAGGGAUGACGGCCUUCGGGUUGUAAACCUCUUUCAGCACCGACGAAGCGCAAGUGACGGUAGGUGCAGAAGAAGGACCGGCCAACUACGUGCCAGCCGCCGCGGUAA